CAGCGCGACAGUAAAGAAUGCUGACCGUAUGCAAGUCAGCCUGGCUGGCAACACGAUCGAAUUGCGGGGACGUCCUAAAGCUCAGCCUACUCCCUGCCCCCGAAAGGGGUCAGCACAGUCAUAAUGGCGGAGAUGCACAAUGGACAAUCCGCAGCGAAGACCCUACCGCGCAAGCCAUGGGUAACGUUCACAGACUAAGUGAUUGUGGGUAGCGUGCUACUUAAGAUAUAGUCGGGCCCUGACCGAAAGGCCAGGGAGUCAACGUCCGUAGGUGAACCUGCGGAAGGAUCAUUAA
rnacentral:ncRNA from 1 species